CAGCAAUAUGAAGCUGGAUUCAUUGCAAAUAAAACAAAUGCAACCAAGGGAAGGAGAGAGGAAAUGCAAAGAAAGUGGUGAAUCAGAGCAUAAUAGCAAGCAGCUAAUUUCUAAAAUGGAAGGAGAGUGGAGAGAACUCUGAAAAGUUCUAUGAUGACAAAGCCUUAUGAAACUGAAAUGGAAUUUUUGUUGUCUUCUGAGUUAAGACAGGAACAUCGUUCCUCCAGACCUUCCUCUGGUAUGUGCUAAGCGAUGACAGGAAUGACCUGCUGCAUCAGGAAUGAUAGUGCACAAUGCAUGGGAAUCAGCAGCGUUGCUCUGGAGACAACUACUGUGUGACAGCAAAGAGUGUCCAUCCAGAUUUCUGCAACAUCAUCAACAACAACAAGGAUGAUGAUGAUAAUGAUGAUGAUGCAAGAUUGAAAGCAGAAUAACAAAAGGAAACAAUUGAACAUCGCGUUUCUAACUGGGAAAAGAACCCUAUGGACAGUCAGUACCUGAAGGACAUUGAAGGAAAGGUAGGUACAAAGCUAACAUGGAGAUUGUUAAGAUCAGGGGAGAUGAAGAAAGAAACUGAAGGCUUCAUUUUGGCUGCUCAAGAACAAGCCCUACAGACCAAUUCCAUUAAAGUGAAAGUUCAACAUGUCAGUAACAACAGCAAAUGCCACUUAGGCAGUGAGAAAGAUGAAACAGUAGAUCACCUUACCAAUGGCUAUAGCAAAAUCUCAGACACUGAUUAUCUAAAACAUCAUGAUCGAGUUGCCAAAAUCAUACAUUGGAAGCUUUGCCAGAAGUUUAGGUUUCAAUGCAGCAAAAAUUACUGGGAACACCAACAUGACAAAUUAUUGAAAAUGAACAGGUCAAGAUCUUGUGGGACUUUCAAAUCCAAACAGACAGACAUCUGGCCCACAACACGCCUAUUGUGGAAAAGAAAAAAGGCUGAUUCAUUGAUUUUGCCAGAUGAUACAUGAAUUGGAAAAAAACAGCUAGGAAAAAAAUAAUGAAAUACUGCGAUCUGCAAAUUGAAAUUGAGCAGUUAUGGAGGAAGAAAUCAAAGGUACCAAUAGUGACAGGAGCCUUUGGAGCAAUACCCAAAGGGCUGCCUAGAUAACAUGGCAAUUUUGAACUUAUUGAACCUAACUAUUCUGAGUUAACAAUGAGAUUAACAUUACCAUAUUAUUAUGGUUCGUUGCAGAGUCAGCCAGAUAUACAGACUGGAUUUGGCAUUUUUAUUUACCAAUCAAAUCCUUCCCAAGAACCUGGGAUAGGCAGACGUUAGAUGAUGUUAAAAGUAUCAUCAUAGGAUAUAAUCUGUUCCAAGUAAAGUUACCAAUUGAA